rnacentral:rRNA from 1 species
AUUGAACGCUGGCGGCAGGCUUAACACAUGCAAGUCGAGCGGAGAUGAGGUGCUUGCACCUUAUCUUAGCGGCGGACGGGUGAGUAAUGCUUAGGAAUCUGCCUAUUAGUGGGGGACAACAUUCCGAAAGGAAUGCUAAUACCGCAUACGUCCUACGGGAGAAAGCAGGGGAUCUUCGGACCUUGCGCUAAUAGAUGAGCCUAAGUCGGAUUAGCUAGUUGGUGGGGUAAAGGCCUACCAAGGCGACGAUCUGUAGCGGGUCUGAGAGGAUGAUCCGCCACACUGGGACUGAGACACGGCCCAGACUCCUACGGGGGGCAGCAGUGGGGAAUAUUGGACAAUGGGGGGAACCCUGAUCCAGCCAUGCAGCGUGUGUGAAGAAGGCCUUAUGGUUGUAAAGCACUUUAAGCGAGGAGGAGGCUACUGAGACUAAUACUCUUGGAUAGUGGACGUUACUCGCAGAAUAAGCACCGGCUAACUCUGUGCCAGCAGCCGCUGUAA